CGACUCUCGGCAACGGAUAUCUCGGCUCACGCAUCGAUGAAGAACGUAGCAAAAUGCGAUACUUGGUGUGAAUUGCAGAAUCCCGUGAACCAUCGAGUUUUUGAACGCAAGUUGCGCCCGAAGCCAUUCGGUUGAGGGCACGUCUGCCUCGGCGUCACG
rnacentral:rRNA from 1 species